AACGCACCUUGCACUCCUUGGUAUUCCGAGGAGUAUGCCUGUUCGAGUGUCAUGAAACUCUCAAACCUCAUCUUCAUUGAUGACGGGCUUGGAUUUGGACGCUUGCUGGACUUAUGGUUCGGCUCGUCUUGAAUACAUUAGCUGACGAUUUCGACUUCAGUUAAACCGUGUGAUAAUACAUCAACGCGGGCAGCCGUCAAAAGCGCUGGGUCGUCAUUCGAAGGCUUCUAAUCGUCCUUUACGGGACCGCCUUUACUGGUGUUUCAUUUCACAUCUGGCCUCGAAUCAGGUAGGACUACCCGCUGAACUUAA
rnacentral:misc_RNA from 1 species